AUGCAUGUUUCUCUCCAAAAUAACGUUGUUUGUGAUGUGCCUACUGUUAACCAGCUACCUGUGCAUGGAAAAACAAUUAAGUCUGAUCUUCUGCUAACAGGACCAAGAGUUUACUCUGAUGCAGCUUUCAGGUGCAAAAAAAUCCCUGGUUUAACUCAAGGAAUGGUGGCUACUAGUAUCGGAGUCUACCUUUGUUUGCCACAAGACCCGACGGAAAUCAAUGUUCAGAUUCAAGCGUCUUCUGCGGAUACAGAUUCUCCUUUGAAAGCGGAAGCUUUGGCUCUUCUUUUGGCGGCUCAAGUGGCUAAUCGCCUUAAUAUUUCUCAGCCUACUUUCCUCACCGACUGUCUCUCUUUGGCAUCGUUUGCUGCUUCUUCUAAGGCUUCUGAUGUUGCCAUCCCCUGGGCUAUCAGGAAAAUACUAGCUGAAUUUUUCUUCUUCUCCUUGUGCGAUUGCGGAAACGUCUCACCUCGUUGGAGGCGACAGGUUCGUGUUAAAUAA
rnacentral:rRNA from 1 species